ACUCUACCAAAUAUGAUAUAACCGCAUCGCACCCGAAUCGGACUUCCAUUCACAAUUUUACCUAAUCGCAUCGCUCCCAAAUCACAUCGCACCCGCACUUGAAUCGUAAUUGCACGCGAAACGGACUACCAUUCGAGGCCUUCUUCGAUGGUUAGCCUACGCUCCGCAAAAUUCACUUCGGCUUCGGAAAUGGUCAUCGACGUUGAAACGGAGAAAGAUGCCUCUGCUGAUUCACCCACUUCUGUUCUCAACGAGGAGGUUCAUCCAUCUCAAUGUAGCUACUUGGCACACGAACUCAUUGUUUGGUAUCAGGGACAAGAAGCUCCAAUGCUGCUUCCUUUCUCAUAUGCUGUGGUCUCGGGUGCUAUAGGAUCAUGUUCAGUUUUAUUUGCCAAGUCACUGUGAGAUGCUCUGUGACCUUAAUUUAUUUCUUUCAUUGUCACAUCGGCUUAAUCUAUUUUGUCACAUAGCCUUUGGAGCAAUAUUCUCUGCUACAGACUCUGUUUGCACCUUGCAAAUGCUUAAUCAAGACGACACACCUCUCUUGUCCAGUCUGGUCUUUGGAGAAGGUGUAGUGAACGAUGCAAUGUCUGUUGUGCUCUUCAACGUAAUACAGAGAUUUGAUCUCACAAACAUCAAUUCAACCAUAGCUUUGGAGUUUGCUGGAAACUUAUUUUAUCUCUUCAUCUUAAUUAAGCACAUCACUUGGUGUUGCAGUAUGCUUCUUUCGCUCUUCUCCUCAAACUUCAGCACUAGAAUUUGGAGUUAACCAGAAUAGUUCUUACUCAUUUUCUUUCUCUGGCUGGAUUGCUCAGUGCUUUCAUUAUGAAGAAUCUCUAUAUUGGAAGGCACUCUACUAAUCGUGAAGUUGUAAUAUUUAUGCUAUAGUAUGCAUCUGCAUAAAUGUUCAUGGCCUGAAUAUAUACUUUUGGUUAUCAUUCAUCCCUGCCAUUCUUGUCAUCUUGGUUGGAACCAAACUAGAGCACGUUGUCUCGAAGCUUGCUCUCGAGGUUAAGGAGCGCAGACAUGCACAACUAAUGGGGUUCAAGUCAAACCACGUGACAGACUCUUCUGGUUUGGGAAACUAUCUUUUUGAAUGUAUUUAUAUAUCUUCUAUUUGUAAGUGGUUUUUAACUCUCUGUUUGAGAGUUUAAAACUCUAUCUUGUUUGAGUGUAUGAUAUUAAACUAAGUUUAACAUUAAUUGUAAUUGUGUAUGUUUUGCAAUUUAAUUUUUAACAUAUUUUCACAUAA